AACAUGGCACAGACUGAGGAAUCUCAGAGCAAAGGGAGGGAAAAUAGAUUAGCCAAAGAACUUAUAUGCAUAGCCUGGAUACACACAAUAGUUCAUUGAAGGCCUGGGGAGUGCAGGGUGAAGGAGUCAAGGGGGGAGGGGAGCGAACAUCUGCAAUACUGUCAACAAUAAAGAUAAACUAAAAAAAAAUGAAAAGUUUGAGUAGGACAUGGAGCAGUUGAAGACUAGUCACAGCCAUUCUAAAGAGACAGUAGGACAUAUCUCAGAAGGGUGAAGGUGAAGAUAGCCAUGGCUUUCUUACUGGAAUAAACCUGGUCAAGAUGUUGAAUCAGCACUCUCUGCUUUGUUUUCUGUAAGUUUAAACUCAAAGAUUAGAAAGCAGAAAACCAUAAUGUUCUUCAGAAAUAAAAGACAGCUCGGUGUUUUGGAAAGUAGCCUAACCAGCACCUGCCGGGUAGCAAGGCUUUUGUUUUGUCCCAGCAUGAUCACAGAGCUCGACAGCCAUCGAUAUGUGAAAAGAACACAUAUCAAACCUCUUCUGAAGCUUAUAUGUAUUUAUUUGCUAAAAAGAGGUAGGCAACACCUAAGGUAAAUCAAACCACUUUGGAUCUUCUCUAGUGAUGUCACCUUGUAUUUAUUCCCAUAUUCUCGGGUAAGUUUGCAUGUAAAAUGUCUUUGUUGUCCGGAUCCUGCUCAGCACAUGUCACUGCAGAAUUACGAUGUGUGCAUCUAACAGGACACGCGUGGGACAGAUACUGUCCUGGCGGUCUCUCAGUGCUGUUGUCAGAGAUGAUCAGUGAACAGCAAACAUUCUGCCUGCCCGAUAGUUUCCAGGACACUGGUGGUGUCGUCAGGGAGAGCAGCGCCCUUCCUGCCCUCAGCCCAUUUGCACGUUGGGCCCCAUCAGAAUUAUUUAUCAUUCCAGUGGGUUUUCCUGGAAUGCUGCAGGCAUUGUGGGGCCUGCUGCCUUCCUGGCUGCCUCCUGGCUCAGGCACAGAGUGAUUUUUCAGUCCUCAGUUUACUAGGCCUUAAAACCUGGACAGAAUUUCAAUGUUCUCUAAUAUAUCAGAUGUAGAGUCGUUAAAAAAAGAAAGCAUCUUUUUCGUGUGUGACCUUAAGGAGAAAUUUAAAUUAUUGAAGUCAUCUCUUCCAUGUCCCCACAGUUCCCAGCUAAAAUUGGGAGGCGGGGAUAAAUUUACCAUCAACACAUACCUUUGCCUAAACCUUCACCAGAUUGAGGUCUUGGGAUAACUUACCCAAAAGCCCCAAAGUCUAACCAACUUCUCCCUUUUCUUAGCGUCUUCCGAGCUGAAGAUUCUAGAAUGUUGUGAAGACUAGUCACAGACAGUCUAAGUGCUGCCUCCCUUAAGGUUGUGGAUUUGGCCAAGUUAAUGUGCAUAACUUAACCGGGGAAAGCUCCUCUACCCGACCUGCUAACAGGCCCAAGAAGGUCAUGCGCUCCUCGAAGUAAAGAGUGAACACAUGUAUAAUUCGGUGAUCCUUAUGGCACCUACAAGUCGUGAAAGCUGUCACCAUAAUCCGGAUUCAGACUUCCUCAUGACCCAGCAAGAUCCUCGUGCCCAGGUGCAGCCAAUCCCCACUCCUGCCUCGACACUGGCAGCCACUGAUCUGCUCUCUGUCUCUGCAGACGUGCCUUUGCGGGACAUCUCAUCUAAAUAGGAUCACACAGUAUGUAGUCUCUUGUGUCUGGCUCCCUUCACCUAACAUAAAGUUUUUGCGAUUCA